rnacentral:lncRNA from 1 species
UGGACGUGGAAAGGUACAGCAGCUGGAAUUGCAAAUCUAUUUCCUUAGAAGAGCAUCGGUGGCAAGGAACUUCAAUCCAAAGAUGUUCUCCAUGUUUGUAAAGAAGUUACACCUGUAAGAGGAUUUGUGCUACAGGUAAGAAGUUACAUAUUCUUGUAUAAGAAAAGACAAAUUAAUUUCAG